rnacentral:rRNA from 1 species
CGAACGGUAACAGGAAGCAGCUUGCUGCUUUGCUGACGAGUGGCGGACGGGUGAGUAAUGUCUGGGAAACUGCCUGAUGGAGGGGGAUAACUACUGGAAACGGUGGCUAAUACCGCAUAACGUCGCAAGACCAAAGAGGGGGACCUUCGGGCCUCUUGCCAUCAGAUGUGCCCAGAUGGGAUUAGCUUGUUGGUGAGGUAACGGCUCACCAAGGCGACGAUCCCUAGCUGGUCUGAGAGGAUGACCAGCCACACUGGAACUGAGACACGGUCCAGACUCCUACGGGAGGCAGCAGUGGGGAAUAUUGCACAAUGGGCGCAAGCCUGAUGCAGCCAUGCCGCGUGUAUGAAGAAGGCCUUCGGGUUGUAAAGUACUUUCAGCGGGGAGG